GUGCCAGCCAGCCGCGGUAAUACGUAGGGUCCAAGCGUUAAUCGGAAUUACUGGGCGCAAAGCGUGCGCAGGCGGUUGUGCAAGACCGAUGUGAAAUCCCCCGGGCUUAACCUGGGAAUUGCAUUGGUGACUGCACGGCUAGAGUGUGUCAGAGGGGGGGUAGAAUUCCACGUGUAGCAGUGAAAUGCGUAGAGAUGUGGAGGAAUACCGAUGGCGAAGGCAGCCCCCCUGGGAUAACACUGACGCUCAUGCACGAAAGCGUGGGGAGCAAACAGGAUUAGAUACCCUGGUAGUCCACGCCCUAAACGAUGUCAACUAGUUGUUGGGGAUUCAUUUCCUUAGUAACGUAGCUAACGCGUGAAGUUGACCGCCUGGGGAGUACGGUCGCAAGNUUAAAACUCAAAUGAAUUGACGG
rnacentral:rRNA from 1 species